UAUCUUUUCAAAAUAUCAAUCCAACCUUAUCACUCCACGUCCCUCCAGCUUUGCCCCACCACAUGUUAAUAUAUUUUCCAAGCCCCUGAACACCAUCAGACAAGGCAAUGUACAAAGCCACAAACAUAUAUAUAAGGAAACUCAAUUCCUUUCCUUUUCACGCACAAGCAUCUGAUCUUUCUUUCUUGUUUUCUUUUUUCUUUUUCUUCUUCUUGCUGCAGCAACAACACGCACACCAUGCCUUCUAAUUCUUCUCAUCACCAAUUUCUUCUUCAUUUUUCCUUGUUGCAACAAACGACCCACGCACCAUAGUCAUUCAUCACCAUGCCAAUUUUCUCAUCACCCUUCAAGCACCAAACCCGCGAGCACAAAGGGAGAGAGGGAGAAGAAGUUUUUUCGCCGUUUCUUGCCUGAUCGUCUCACUUACAGUUGCUACGCGUAGACCUCGAGUUGAAGGAACUUUGGGAGUUUCAGAGCAUUUGUGUGAAGGAGAUUUUAACCACGAGACUGGAGCAGCUCGAGAUGUCGACGGUGGAUUGGGUUUCGAUGGUCUCUCCCUCGGGGGGGAUCAGGUAUGAGUUGGUGGACCGUCGUGCCCCCACCGCUUGGGUGAUCUAUCUUGUGGGUCAUCGGGCGACGUACCGGGGAAGGGUCAUGGAGGACCGGACUGACGAGCGUGGACGUCUGACGAAAGGAGCUUUACGACGCAUGGAGCUGAGCUUCAACUCGCCGACUUCAGUUCGCUGUGGACUCGGUACUGGGAGGGUAGGUUUAGGCAGGCGUCAUAUUUUGUGUAGAGCUCUGAUUCGUUUUGCUUUUGGGACAGGGUAGGUUCCCGACGCAUGACUUUUGUGUGGUUCUCUUACUGAGGGAUCACAGUGAGUCAGUCGGACCAUAGGGGUCUUUGCUUAGGCCAGUUUGAGGCCGACUUUCUCCUUGUGGGUUGUAAUUAUAAUUUUCUCACUUACACUUCUGGUUCUGUAUAUAUUUGCCUACGGGCACACUACUUUGGAGUCACUGCGAGUGCGCGUGACGUGGAAGUGCAGCUGAGGCUGUACAUGUUUAUAUUUGAUGUAUAUUAGUUAGUUUAGUGGUUGGGCUAUGUUUUUAUUUUCUAUUGCUUUUAUUAAAAGGAAUCAAACGAAAAAAAAAAUUACCUGUUUUCCGCGUAAAGUUUAUUUUUGGUUACUAAAGUGACACUUGGAAAUCGGGGUGUUACACAAUUGAUCUACAUUCGAAUCAAAGAGCAACCAAUUGACUUGCAUUCAAAUCAAGUCACGUGAAGACUAUUUUGCUUUUGCUAAAAGCACGCUGACCAACAUGAGAAAAUGACAAGGAGUC